GGUCUUAGCUCAGCUGGGAGAGCAUCUGCCUUACAAGCAGAGGGUCACAGGUUCGAGUCCUGUAGGCCCC
rnacentral:tRNA from 1 species